rnacentral:rRNA from 1 species
UACGAAGGGGUCUAGCGUUGCUCGGAAUCACUGGGCGUAAAGCGCACGUAGGCCGAUUGUUAAGUCAGGGGUGAAAUCCUGGAGCUCAACUCCAGAACUGCCCUUGAUACUGACGGUCUCGAGUCCGGGAGAGGUGAGUGGAACUGCGAGUGUAGAGGUGAAAUUCGUAGAUAUUCGCAAGAACACCAGUGGCGAAGGCGGCUCACUGGCCCGGUACUGACGCUGAGGUGCGAAAGCGUGGGGAGCAAACAGG